UGCCAGCCGCCGCGGUAAUACGAAGGGUGCAAGCGUUAAUCGGAAUUACUGGGCGUAAAGCGCGCGUAGGCGGCUUGGUCAGUUGGGUGUGAAAUCCCCGGGCUUAACCUGGGAACUGCACUCAAUACUGCCAGGCUAGAGUACGAGAGAGGGUGGUAGAAUUUCUAGUGUAGCGGUGAAAUGCGUAGAUAUUAGAAGGAAUACCAGUGGCGAAGGCGGCCACCUGGCUCGAUACUGACGCUGAGGUGCGAAAGCGUGGGGAGCAAACAGGAUUAGAUA
rnacentral:rRNA from 1 species